rnacentral:lncRNA from 1 species
AACAUUUCUUGACAAACAAAUAUUCAAGAGUUAGUGUAGCUUUUAUCAAAACACUUCAUAAAUUGGUCCUAGUUGGUCUUUGUCUUAUCCAAGACAUCACAACUUUCCACAUUUGAUGAAUGUUAUAAACCUUCUUAAUACUUAUCACUCAAUGUCACAAUCUUAACUCUAAGACUUGUUUUGGAACGAAGUAUGAUUGACUUCUUGAUUUAACCAUUUCUUCAAUUCUUGAUUCCUCUUCUUAGACAUACAAUUGUACUAAGACUCACUUAGAGGAUCAAUUGAGAUAUGGUUCUUAAUCAUUAAGACCUAUCAUAAAGCAUAAAAGGUACUCUCCCUUCUUCUUAGAAUGGAGAAACUUUUAUCUUUCUGCCUACUUGAUUCUUCUUAUUCGUUCUGCUAUUGAUUUAAACUUUUUCAAUCAAUUCAGAAUUACACUUAAUCUUAUAAGUAUAAUCAUAUUUACUAAACCUUUAGUAAAUCAUGACGAAUAUCUUUGUUACUCUUAUGGUGGACUUGAUCAACACGCAACUUUGUGUACUCGAUCUCCUAGUCCUUCACUUGACACUUUGUCAAUGAAUUAGUCUAAUUUCCAAAUAUGAAAUUUCUCAUUCAUCGUGCAACCAAGUUGCAUGAUUCCAAGUUUCUGUCCAAUUGAAACUUGGGCGAUGAGAAACUCUCCCUAUUUGGUAAACUCUCGACUUUCCAUAAAUAACAUAAUAAGAACCAAAUCCAUUAUUGCUAAUAAUAGAAACAUUCAAACAUCAAUUUUUCAUAUACGCCAUUGCAAGGAUAAAUAAAUAAUAUAAAAUCAAAAUUUAUUUUAUUGCGGAAAAAAUUUGUCCUUACAAUGCAAUUCAUUGAAAAACUAUGCUAAUACAUCUUUCUUAGCAAUCUAAUUCUAACUCUAAGUAGUAGCUCAAGAAUCUAAUCUUCGAGAAAUGCGAUCGAAAUCCAUUCCUUCACGGUUAGAUUCUGCUCACUUCUUCCCUUAAGCUUCCUUUCUUUUCUUCGAUCCUACAAAACAUCAAUUGUAAUCUUAUCACAUUAUGUAUUAAGAAUCUAGAAUAGAAGCUUAAAAGAGUUAGUUAAUGGAUUUUACCUAUAUUAGAGCCAUACGUUUCGACUCUCCCAUCUCUUAGAUCUCUUAGGUAAAUGGGGCAGCUUCGUCUCCAAUGCCCUUUCUCUUGGCAAUAAAAGCAAAUUGACUCUUUUGGAACAUGACAUGGAACUACUUCAGACAUUGCCUUUCUCUUAUGAUCAAACUUUUCGAUCAUAGCAUGUCUUUCGUUGCCAUUGUCUAUAUCCAUAGAGGUCUUGAAGGCAGAUUCACCAAUCAACUUUGCUUUUCUAUUGCGCCAAACCAUUGCUGAUUCAGCAGCAAUAAGCAUAUAGGUGAGAUCUAUAAGGGUCACGUCGCGGUUCAUCAUAUAGUACUCUCUUACGAACUCACUAUAUGAGUUAGGAAGUGACUGAAGAACCCAAUCAACAGCCAUUUCCUCACAGACAACGGAUCCCAACAUUCUUAACCUAUCAAUGUGUGACUUCAUCCCUAGGACGUGUGCACACACCGACUUUCCUUCUUUAUGUUUACUUGCCAAAAGGGCUUGAGUGAUCUUGAACUUUUCAAGCCUUUGAACUUGUGGGUUAGGGAGAAUAAUUGGAGGAGGAGGAGGAAGUGAAGCAUGAUUUCUUGUUCCUCGAUCGAAUCGUGGAAUAUCAUCUUCAUGUGGAAUGCUUGUUCCACGGGAUUUGGGAAGACCAUAGUUGUCGAACUUUGACAUCUACAAAACGGGAGAAAACGAAUUCAAGUUAGUUGAUUGAUUGAGUCCUUAGUAAAUCACCCAAAUGAGAUACUAAGGCUAGGACCCAACACAAUAUUCUACAACUCGGGAGAGGGAUGCCGUAACCCUAAUUGCAGAAUAUUUGAAGGUAAGUGAAUGACGAUUCACUAAUUUCCACCAUGAAAAACGAAAAAGAAAUUUAAGUUUUAAAUCUAUGAAAACUCCUAGAUCCUUUGAGAUUCAUUGAACUUUCAAUGGCAUGUUUAAAUCUCGAUAUGCCCCUCUUGUUUGUGACUGGGAUGCCGAGGAUCACAAAGCGGGUGUGAAUAACCAUGCAAACUUACAUGGUGCCCUCACAUGUUACAGUCACCUAUUCGAUGUGCCGGUAAACCACACACGCUCCACCGAACUAUGACAAACAUUGAGUCACCCUUUGCUACCUUUGCUUAGAACCAUUUAGUGUGCCGGUAAACCACACACGCUCCACUAACGUCUUCGCAAGGGCACAAAGUGUAAUUUCAUGGAAUUGCAUCAAUUCACUUUUGCCUAAGUAACUAAGAUUGGGAAUUUUAUGAAAACAUUUAGUUACUUUAAUAAUUCAUUAUACUUAUAAUGGAAGGUUUCGUCCUAUCCUACCCGUUCGGCUAACGACCCUCCACUAGUCAAGAGUGCGGUGGGUAAGAGUGGAUACCCAUUCAAUCGCCAUUUUAUAGGCAAUUUCCUUAAACACCCCUUAUAGACCAGCUUCGUGAAUGAGGCCUACUAACGGUAAGACUGACUUUUACUCAUACAUAUAUAUAAUGUUAGACUUUUAAUGUUAUAUAUAGUAUAGGGUGUAUUUUACACUUUUAAAAUACUAGGUGGUCUAAUUUAACAAUUAUACUUUUAAUUCAAUUAAAUUGUAAACCUAAACUUUUAUGGAUUUAUUAAACCUCUUUUAAUUAUACACCUUAAUUAAUUAAUAAAACCAUAAGGGUGUGAUUUGAACUUUUUCAAAACAAUACUAGGGUUUUAGAAUUUAACAUUCCUAAUUAAACUUUUAAUCAACUUUUAAAUUCCAAAACUUGAGGGCAAGUUUUGAAACAUUUCAAAACAUUAGGGUUUAGAAUUUAAAUAUACAUCAAAAUUAAACUAUUAAUCAAAAUUUAAAUUCCAAAACUUGAGGGCAAGUUUUGAAACCUUUUUCAAAACAUUAGGGUUUCAACUAUUUAAAUUUCAAAACAACAAAACUUUUGAGUUCAAAUUUAAACUAUAAAACCUAAAGGGGAAAAUAUGAAACUUUUCAUAACAACAAGGAUCAAAUAACAAAUAAUCUAAAUUAACAUUUAAUCACAUAAUUAUCCAUAUUUGAUUUAUUUAAUGAUUUCUUGCAAAACAAUUUAUCAAUUUAAUCAAAAUAAUUAAUCAAUUAUCACAUAAGGAAACAAAUAUUUUAUUAAUUGAUAAAUAUCUUCAAUUAGAUCAAGAAUAUAGUCAUAUAUAUCAAAAAAUCGGAUUUAUAUUGAUCUAAUAUGAUAAGGCAAGUAUCCUCAAGCAAAAACAGCAAGAAAUCCCGGUUUUCCCUCCUUCUGACCAGCCGACUCGUCGAGUCAGGCAUGGACUCGUCGAGUUAGCAUGAACUCGGCGAGUUCAGCAAGCAGAACCACAAAAAACGAAUUUUUUCAACAUAUAAAGCAUCAAUACAAUAGAAACCAAUCUAGGCUCUGAUACCACUGAUGGGUUUUGGUCAUAAGACAUCCUAUGUGCUCAUACAAACCCUAAUGCUUGGAUCUAGGUUUCUCUAUUGUACAUGCUUUGAAUCCAAGACUAUAAACCCUAAUUCUAGCAUAUGGAAAUCAAUAUUAACAUAUAAUUAGGUUUAAGAUAUUACCUUGAUUGUUAUGUAGCAAUAACAAUCCCAAUUCCUCCUUGAAUUGACUUUGGAAGGCUUAGAGUCACAAGUGUCACUCCUCUAAUGGUUCACAAACACCAUAAGCAAGAGGAUGAAGAGGAGAGAGGAUGGAGGCUGCCCAAAACGUGUUCUAACCCUAGAAAAGAAGUUCCCCACGUUUUUGAGCCUUAAGGGUUCUAUAUAUAGUGAGGCUAUUAGGGUUAUCUAACAAGGAAACCCUAAUUUGGAUGCUUAAGCCCUAAGCAACCCAUGGAUCCCUUUCCUUAAGGCCUUGGACGAUUUCUUAUGGGCUUCCCCAUAGAAUUCGUCCACUCCUUAAUAUAAGGCAAUCCAUGGCCCAAAUUGCAAUUAUCUUAUAAUUACAAUUCCAGUCCCUUAAGUUUAAUUAAUCUCUUUUAGUCACAAAACUAAUUACCAAUUAAUUCUUGACUAAUAUUAAUUAAACAAUAUGAUUUCUCCUUUAAUAUAUUAUUCUCAUAAUAUAUUAAUAAAUCAUAUUUAAUCCUUUCUCUCCAUAAUUCAUCCUAUCAAGUUGCUUUGGUGAAGGCAACCCAAAAGGACCAUGCACCAUCGGGUCAAGUACAUACCAAAAUAGUUAUGGACUUAGACACUAAUCCAACAGUCUCCCACUUGGAUAAGUCUAAUAACUAUUAUGCGUAUGACUUCAGAUCCUGAUCUGCAAUCGUAGCUUUCCAAAGCCGCUGUCAACUCUGAUCCUAUCAGAUACGCGUGUCCUUAGAUAAGGGAUCAUAUAUUCCUCCAUUCUAGAUAUCAUAUGAGAUAUGAUUUCAAAUCAUUCUCUUUGUACUAUAUCUCGAUUUCCGAUUUAUGACGACUGACUAAUUGAACAAAUCAAAUUAGCCCUAGCCCGGCCGAGCAUUUACGUUUGUCAUCACUAAAUCAUCGAGGGGCCCAAAGAUAUCGCUUUUAUCCUACUUUGGAUAAAAGGAACGGAUAAACUUUGAUACAAUGCUUGCUUGCACUCACUCACCGAAUCACACACAACAAUAUGUUUUAUAACACCAAGUUACUAGUGCGUUUACAUAUUAUCAAUGUGCAACCGAUUUGCAAGAUACAACUCACACAUCUCGGUUUCAAGAAUAUAAGAUGUUAUCGUCUCACCAAUCACUCGUGAUACAAUUCAUGGAGUGAUCCAAGUGAGCGUGGGUUUAAUCCAAUGCUCAAAUCAUAUUCAUAAGCACUCAUGAACGUUGCAGCAAACAUUUGCUUAUGUCUAAUACUCUUUUAGACAAUCCACACACCAAUUCACGACAGUCUUCAUUCAUAUCUACUUCCAACAUAUGAACGACUGUGGCCCGUUCGAAUAAUUCGAUUAUUCUUAAUAAACUCAAUUAUUCUGGAAGUCAAAACAUGCAAAUGUGAAACACAAGAAUAAUACUAAUCCCAUAUGGCCUCAAACCUUUGAGUAUAAAUAAAACACCUUUUAUUUAUCACCAUAUCGAUUACUCAUUAUUUGUCGUUUCGGGUAAUCAACUUCUUACUUGAAUUAUUACACUUGUCCCAUGCUCUUAGCAUGCACACAAUGUUUACCUAUGGUUCUUACUUUUGUGAAAUAGAUCAAAUUGAACACAUUUCCAAUCAUUCUCAUUUCACAACUCCAAAUCCUUUUUCAUAAGUGUGAGAAUAUCAAAUUCUUGUUACUUAUAGAAUAUGCUAGAUUCUAACAUUCUAUGCAAUGAUCCUUUCGUAAUGUCACUGCACCAAAGUCACAAAGACUAUUGCCAAUGAUAUUACAAAGUCCUCUAUCGGAGAUUGUUACAAGACAAUUCCUUAGAUAUGAUGUCUCUCACUCAAAGUACAUUCCUUUGAACAUCCUUUUGCAUAAAAGUUUCUAAUCUAGACAUAGAUUUUCAAUAUUCAAUUCCCAAUAUGGACACGUUUCCAUAUUUUCCAUAUGACAACUCAUUCUUAAUAGAAUCUUAUCUAUUCGUAAUGAUGUCGAUAUGGUCCAUCCAAUAUGGAAACAUUUCCAUAAUUUCCAUAUGACAACUCAUUCUUAAUAGAAUCUUUUCUAUUCAUAAUAAUGUCGAUAUGGUCCAUCCAAUACCAUGCUUCCAACUACUCACAAGCGACCAAUCCUCGUCGAACUUUGGAUUGUCCUUUGAUAGUUGUUUAAUUAUUUUAGUCAAAACCAAUUCUAGUCCCUUUUCCCUCUAAAUGCGCUAGACAUUUGGAAAAUUUUAGAAUGGUCAAACAUUAAAGCAUUUGCAAUCGAUCCUAUACCCGAAGCGUAUGGGACACGACGCAUAAUGUUUUAUUUGCUAUGUUCUCAAAAUUCGAAUUGUGAAGAGGAAUGUCGUAAUCAUAAUCGAAAUUUUAAGAACACACUAUGUACCCUUGACUAAAUUUAUUAACAUUUCUCAACCUAAUCCUUUAGAUUUGAAAUGAAGCAUAAUAUUCUCUCCCUUAAUUAUAGCAAAACAACUUUACAACCCUUACGACUUUGCAAGGUAUAACUCUUGUUUUCUAUAAUUAAUAUUGCCAACUUGCAAUACGUGCCUUAAUAAUCAUACAAUCAUAACAUUUAUGCUCCCACUAUCAUGAUGAUUAUUAUAAAACAUAACACUUAUGCUCCCACUAGCUUCGACAUGUAUUCAUAAACAUCUUAACUUUCAGAAAAACAAUGCUUAUUGAAUUUCUUAAGUUCAUGUUUCUAAUACUUAGUGCUUUGAUAAUCUUUUAUCAAGGCUUCUUGAACUUAUACACCUUUGCCUUCGAUAGUUCAUAUGUGUGUCUAAACAAUUAAGACUAAUUGCCAAACCUCACAAUUCAAAUUAUGGAAAGGGAUACCGUAACCAUAAUCGAAUUCGAGAAUGCAAUUUUACAAUCACUAUCUUCCUAAAAUCUUUCUUAGUGAAAGCAUUUCCUCACAAUCAUUUUCAUGAAGGAGGAAAUCUUAUGACACUUAGAUUUAAACGGUGUAUGUGUUCCUAUCCAUGUGAAUUUGUCAAAACCAACGUUCACGAAAAAUUCAACCUCAUAUGGAUCGAACUUUCUUAAUCUCGAUUUCUUGCCUUAUGGUAGCAUAGCUGCCCACCACGUCUUCCAAAUAGUUAAGCAAAUCACAUUUUCCUAUCAAUGUACCUUUCAUUGAUUAAGGUGUCUUGCCUUUUAUGCGUUCAAAAUGAGAAUUCAUAGAACUCACAUGCAUAAUUAACUCAAUUGGAACAACACAGAAACCAAAUAAUGUCAACACGAUAGGUUGUAAACCUCAACUCGUGUGCUAGUGAUGAUCGAUAAGGUUUAUUUGAUUUGUUCUUGAAACCUUUCAAGACCAUUAAGACUCCCACUGACUCCUUGACAUAUAAGAUUCUCUUGUCAAUAACCAUUUCUUGACAAACAAAUAUUCAAGAGUUAGUGUAGUUUUUAUCAAAACACUUCAUAAAUUGGUCCUAGUUGGUCUUUGUCUUAUCCAAGACAUCACAACUUUCCACAUUUGAUGAAUGUUAUAAACCUUUAAUACUUUUCACUCAUUGUCACAAUCUUAACUUUAAGACUUGUCAUUGGAACGAAGUAUGAUAGACUUCUUGAUUUAACCAUUUCUUCAAUUCUUGAUUCCUCUUCUUAGACAUACAAUUGUACUAAGACUCACUUAGAGGAUCAAUUGAGAUAUGGUUCUUAAUCAUUAAGACCUAUCAUAAAGCAUAAAAGGUACUCUCCCUUCUUCUUAGAAUGGAGAAACUUUUAUCUUUCUGCCUACUUGAUUCUUCUUAUUCGUUCUACUAUUGAUCUAAACCUUUUAAUCAAUUUAGAAUUACACUUAAUCUUGUAAGUAUAAUCAUAUUUACUAAGCCUUUAGUAAAUCAUGACGAAUAUCAUUGUUACUCUUAUGGUGGACUUGAUCAACACGCAACUUUGUGUGCUCGAUCUCCUAGUCCUUCACUUGACACUUUGUC